rnacentral:lncRNA from 1 species
AAUCUCCGCUCAGUGAGUGGCGCUGCGAAGCUGCUUCUGCCCGGGAAGGAGGAGAGGGGCCUGGAACCGCCGAGGGAACCACCAGUUCCGACGCCCUGGGGUUGUGCCCUCAGUCUCUUGCCUCAGCACCUGGGUAGGUUUCCGCCUACAUGUAACCAGUGACUUCAAAUAUUCUGUUUUAUCUAAGAAGUACAACGAAGGUCAUGAGAAGCCUGAGUAGGCCUGAACUACAGCUGCCUGGGCACCAUAGUGAAGGUUAUAGGAUAAGCCCAUGCCCAGACAAACCUAGAUAACGGACAUCUGGGUUACUUGGCAACAGUCAUGUGCAAUCCUGUCUUUGUCCUGCCUCUGUAUUGCUGCUUUUCACACCACUGUAAGCUUGCUUCAAGCUAGCCCACCACCUUCUGUGAAGUAUGUAUAAAAGUCAGAUGCUGUCUUUGUUCCGGGCCCAGUCUUUUGGACGUUGAGUCAGCUGGGCCUGAGUGCACUCAAUAAAGAUUCUAGUUUCAACCUGAGGUCUCUCUCGUCCUCCUGAAUCCUGCAACAUUUCCAGUAGAGACAGGAUUUCACCAUGUUGGCCAGACUGGCCUCAAACGCCUGACAUCAAGUGAUCUGCCCACCUCUACCUCUCAAAGUGCUGGGAUUACAUGCGUGAGCCACCAUGCUCUACCGUUUUCUUCCCUUUUUAAACAGAAUAAAACUCAUUAUGUCUUGCAAUGACCAUAUAGAUCUAUUGGUAGGCCCUCUUAUAACCUGUCAGCACCAUCCAGCCAAAGGCCACCAGGAACACACCUGUCAUGACAUGAGUUAGCUUUGAGGGAGAACGUUUUGCAUGCCACGGGGAACUGUGGGGCAAAUAAGUAAGAGGGUGUCAGGGAUGGUUUAUUACAGGAUUUGGGCAUGUGUUAGGUGGUUUGAGGAGUCCUUUCUCUGGGAUGCUCUCAGGAAGUGGGGGUAAUUCUAUGAUUGAGGAUCUUAACAAAUUUCACCAAGAAGGAGGGAAGAGUAGAGGAAGGCCAAAGCCGUAAUUGGCUAAAGUAGCAGCAGUCGAUCCUAUUAGCCAGGACAUGGGGUAUGGCCUGGCUGUGAAUCCCAGACCCACUUCUGGUUCUGCUUUUCUCUUUCCAAAAAUCCAAGACAUAUUGUGGGAUCUUAGCGGUCUUACUUCUUCUGCAUCUUGAAAUGAUUUGCUAUUUCAUCAUCCUGGGAAAUCUUCUGUAGUUAAUUCAUUGAUUCCCAAAAAUGACUUAAGAGUCUUCAAGAGGCCAGGCACGGUGGCUUAUGCCUUAAUCCCAGCACUUUGGGAGGCCGAGGCGGGCGGAUCAUGAGGUCAGGAGUUUGAGACCAGCCUGGCCAACAUAGUGAAACUGUGUCUCUACUAAAAAUACAAAAAUUAGCCGGGCAUGGUGGUGCAUGCCUAUAAUCCCAGCUACUCAGGAGGCUGAGGCAGGAGAAUCGCUUGAAUCUGAGAGGCGGAGGUUGCAGUGAGAGGAUUGUGCCACUGCACUGCAGCCUGGGUGACAGAUUGAGACUCUCUCAAAAAAAAAAAAAAAAAAAAAGAGGUGUAAGAAUUAAAGAGGAAAGAAACAUGAAAGGGGAUGGGCAGUGGGGAAGUGGAGUAACAUGUACCACAGAGUAACAGAGGGAGGGGUGGUAGAAGGUGAUUGGAGAGUGUGACCCUGGAAGUGGAUGGUGGAUGGCGUUAUGGCAUCAGCAAUGACAAGAUCUAGACUUAGACCAGGGAAGUGAGUGGCUGGGGUACGUAAGGCCUAGGUCAAGGAACUGGGGAACUGGGUGUCAACUGAUGACAGGAGUUAUGUUGGAAAGUGAGCCAGGAGCUAAAACCUUCAAGGAAUAAGUAAGUGUUGGCAUGAGUGUGACUGGCCACCAGGACAGAUGACAGCAAUAAAGGGAGGUAGUGGGCAGUAUGGGUACAAGGCACAAUGGAAUGAGGGGUGGGGAGAACCAACAGAGAAAGGAAAGCAAUCAAUGUCCUUAGUGGAGGAUAAAGCGAAAGAAGAAAGGAGGCUGGGAAUAGGGAGGACAGCAGGAAAAUGAGCAAGGUUUCAGGAAUCAGACACGGGAUAAGAGAUGAAGCUUCUUGUGCCUGACCCACACAGAGCAGAAAUGCAGAACUUCAGGGUCAUUCUACAGUGAGUGGCAGAUACAUGGAAGACAGCUGCAGCAUUAGUUCUUUGCACUCACUACCUGGGGGAUGUCACCUCUGUCCAAGUAUAAUGCCCAGGGGGUUCUCCUUGCCUGCUGCCUAAACAGAGCUGAUUCAUCAGAACAGGGGAAUUGCAAUAGAGAAAGAGUAAUUUGGCUGGGUGCAGUGGCUCACACCUGUAAUCCCAGCACUUUGGGAGGCCAAGGCAGGUGAAUCACCUAAGGUCAGGAGUUUGAGACCAACCUGGCCAACACAGUGAAACCCUGUCUGUACUAAAAAUACCAAAAAUUAGCCGGGCGUGGUGGCACGUGCCUAUAAUCCCAGCUAUUGGGGAGGCUGAGGCAGGAGAAUCGCUUGAACCUGAGAGGCGGAGGAUGCUGUGAGCCAAGAUCCUGCCAUUGCACUCCAGCCUGGGCAACGAAAGUGAAACUCCAUCUCAAAAAAGAAAGAGUAAUUCACGCAGGGCUGGCUGUGUGGGAGACCGGAGUUUUAUUAUUACCCAAAUCAGUCUACCCGAGCAUUUGGGGAGCAGACUUUUUAAGGACAACUUGGUGGGUAGGGGGAAGCCAGUGAGCCCAGGAGUGCUGAUUGGUCAGGGAUGAAAUCAUAGGGAGUUGAAGCUGUCUCCUUGUGCUGAUUAAGUUCCUGGGUGGGGACCACAAGAUCACAUGAGCCAGUUAAUCAGUCUGGGUGGUGCCAGCUGAUCCAUCAAGUGCAGGGUCUGCAAAAUAUCUCAAGCACUGAUCUUAGGAGCAGUUUAGGGAGGGUCAGAAUCUUGUAGCCUCCAGCUGCAUGACUCCUAAAGCAUAAUUUCUAAACUUUUUUUUUUUGAGACAGAGUCUCACUCUGUCGCCCAAGCUGGAGUGCAGUGGCAAGAUCCUGGCUCACUGCAACCUCCACGCCGCCUCCCAGGUUCAAGCGAUCCUCCCACCUCAGCUUCCCAAGUAGCUGGCAGUAUAGGCAUGUGCCACCAUAACCGGCUAAUUUUUGUAUUCUUUAGUAGAGAUGGGGUUUCACCACGUUGGCCAGGCUGGUCUUGAACUCCUGACCUCAGGUGAUCUACCUGCCGUGGCCUCCCAAAGUGCUGGGAUUACAGGGGUGAGCCACGAGGCCCAGCCCAUAAUUUCUAAUCUCGUGGCUAAUGUUAGUCCUCCAAAGGCAACCUAGUCCCCAGGCAAGAAGGAAGUCUGCCUUGGGAAAGGGCUGUUAACAUCUUUGUUUUAAACUAUAAAAUAAAAUAUAAACUAAGCUUCUCCCAAAGUUAGUUCAGGCUAUGCUCAGGAAUGAAUAAGGACAAUUUGGAGGUUAGAAGCAAGAUUGGGUCGGUUAAGUUAGAUCUCUUUCACUGUCUCAGUCAUAAUUUUGCAAAAGCGGUUUCACAAGCAGUCAAUACCAGGAGCCUCUGAAGACCACCAUAGCAGUCCUCAGUGCCAGGCAAAUCCACUAAAAUAGAAACACCAGGCUUUGCCAAGAAGGGAAAACAAAAAGAAAAACAAAACAACUUUAUCGCACAUUUCAUUAGAAUUUCAGGGACAGGCUGGGUGUGGUGGCUCACAACUGUAAUCCCAGCAAUUUGGGAGGCCCAGGUGGGUAGAUCACUUUGAGGCCAGGAGAUCAAGACCAGCCUGGCCAAUAUGUCGAAACCCAUCUCUACUAUAAAUACAAAACAUUAGCCAGACAUGGUGGCACGCACCUGUGAUCCUAGAUACUCCAGAGGCUGAGGCACAAGAAUCACUUGAACCUGGGAGGCAGAGGUUGCAGUGAGUUGAGAUUGCAUCACUGCACUCCAGCCUGGGUGAGAGAGAGAGACUCGAAUUUCCAUGGACAGGCAUUCAUGUUCAGGAGAAGGGGGGUCUGGGCACUGGAGUUGGAGGAAAGAGCCUCAGUAAAGGUACAGAAACGUUAAGCACAGGGCAAUCAGAAAAUGAGGGGACCGGUUCAUACAUCUAUGACCCAUCCAGCCACCUGGGAAGGUAGGAUCUGGGCCUUAGCCUGUCCCAGAGAAUGCAGUAAUGCCCUGUCCCAGAGAAUGCAGGCUCCACGUGGGCUCCUUCCUACUGUAAUUGCCCCCAUUACACCCACAUCCAUCCCCUCACAGACUGGUUUAUGUGCCAGACUCAGCCAGCGGGUGGAGCUUCUCCCGGGAAGCCACACCUCCACCUCCCCAACACGCAGCACCCCAGCCUCGCUCUGACAGGCUCUUCCUUACAUCAUGGCAGUUUUUCAUCAGGGAACCACUGUCUCCACAAGCCAAAUGCUGUUGUAGGCCAAUCAGACUCUGAAAUCCAUGCACCUUUGUUAGCAGGUCAUCGUGGAGGAUGCACCCAUCGAAGGUGGCCUUCCACCCCCGUCCUAUAAAAAGAAGGCCACUUCAGCAAAUAGAAUAAAGAGUCUGACAAUGUCUUUUUUUUUUUUUUUUUUUUUUUAACUUUCUUGUUAUGGACCAAUCAGUAACCAUGAUCACGACCACAUUUGAGAAUCAGGGCUCUUUGCAGCUGGGGCAAUACUUCUGGAUCGGGAGCAACUUAUCAUGGAGGACCUGGUAUUAGAGGACACGUUGACAACAUAGAAUAAUACAGAUAAACUCCUACUUCUAGAAACCAAGAGGAGCAACAAAGCCAAAAUAUAUUAGAGGAAUUUGAAGAGGAAGAACUAUAAAGUCAGGAGGGGGAAAAUUGCCAGAAACAAUGGCUAACCAGUUGCCUCAGCAUCAUAUAUGGAGCAGCCCACCUUUUCAUCAGUCUGAGAUGCCACUUUUAUCAUAUAAUAAAGGCCUCAUAUAUACUUAGGUCUAUUUCUGAAACUUUCUUUUAAACAAAAGAGCCUUCUGGUAUCAUGGCUGUUUUUUAAACUUUUGAUUGAUUGUGUACCUACCUUUGUAUACCUACCUUUGUGUACCUGUGAACGUGGCCUUGUCCGUGUGGUUAGCAAGGAGCAUGUGUUCCAUUCCUCCUCUGGCUGCCCUUCAACACCAUCCACUGCUCACAAUGCUGCCAGGGAAGCCUGGGCACCUCCAGAGGUGCCAACCUGACCAUGCCAAGGCUGCCAACUCCAGGUGCUUCUAAGGUUUUCAGUCCUUGGGCACCAGGAGGCUGCCAGGUUUCCUGCCAGCUGAGGAGAGCAGCCUAUUCAACUAUUCAACCUAUGCAACUCCAGGUCCUGCUAUUUCUGUUUUUCUUGGCCCUGAUUGCACUUCAGUUUUCGCCCUGUCUUCUGGAAUGGCUCCUUCAAAUUCCCCUUUUCAUCACAUCAGUUUUCACAGGUAGUUGAAGAGAUC